GUGCGCGCACCGACUGGAUUCGGUAGAGAGCAUUUUACUUGGAAGUUCUCAAGAGACUCAAACGAAGAUUAAUCGGGUCUGAAAAGAAAUCGACUUUCGUGUGAACAACUUCCGCAGCCGCCAUACAGUCCAGAUGUAAUUAUGCCGCUAAAGGAUAAGUCUUCCCGACGAUUUAAAAUACAGCUAUAGUGAAAGAAGAAGAAGAGCGUGUUGUGAAGCCAUCAAAAGUGGAUAACUUCUGCCAGCUGUAUAUUCGCAUACCUUACCUCCUCACACACCGACCAACCGAUUACUUAUAUCAACAAAGUUGAUGCGAAUAUAAUCGCUUGCAUUACGUUUUUGCGAUUGUCAAUGGUCGUACAUCAGCAGUGGGGGUUUUGAUUUCUGUAAAGACCAAUCUGGACCUGGUGUCUGACCAUUUGUCAAUGAUGAUCCAGCAAGCGGACGGCUACUGUUAUAUUGUGCUGCCGGUAGCAGCUUCUACCACAAAUUUUCCGUUUUCAUUUUACUAUAUGAACGAGUUAUGAUAUGUCUGAAUAUGAUGGUGCCCAUCAGUGACUUUAUGUUCCUUUCCAUUUGUUAUAAAGGCGCACUUCUUUAAGAUCAAUUAUUAAACAUGUGACAAAGGCAACGGAAGCUGUUAGUGAAGCCUUAGCCCCAUACAAAGCUGCUGUCGAUGCAGCUUCGAUGUUUGAUGAACAUUUACUACUCAAUUGCAAAUCACAUGCUGAACAACAACCGCAAGUCCGGAGCUGUAUCCCAAUCGUCGCGGCGAAGUGGUGCAAGGCUCCUACUGUGAUCAUGCAAUCUCCCCCAUAUCCUGGUCUAUAUCCGCAUGAACUGAACUGUCGUUAUAAAUUGCUUAUGCGUCAGCCAUAUAUAAAACUGAAUUGUAGAUUAAGCAGUUUGCCGUGGAUGGACAGAGGUGUGAGAACGUCAUGACUUGUCCCAUACGACUAAUUGGUUCCGGCAAGGAGCACUGCAACUUCGAUUGGCCUGCAGUCUACUCGUACAAUGGUCGUGAUGUGCAUUCGCCACUUAUUGGCAAAUUUUGUUUGCUGCCAAAAUUUCCUUUUGGCAUUAUUGGUUCUACACAACAAAAUCUGAUAGGUUUUAUGUGAUGAACGGGAAAAUAUUAAAAAAAAUGAAAAGAGUUAGAAAGGAUUAUAUUAAUUGUUACCAACAGAAGUGAUAUGCCGGCAGAGUGGUCCUAUGGUCACACAUUGGAAAGGCUCAUAAAACACACUUGAUUUUUUGUCCUUUACUUAAGCUAUUAUGAUAAAAUGGAUAAGUAAAUUCCCUCUCGGCUAAAGAGGAUUUGAAGCUCUUUGACAAUUUUUGGAAUC